ensembl:snRNA U6 U6 spliceosomal RNA
GUGCUUGCUUCAGCAGCACAUAUAAUAAAAUUGGAAUGAUACAGAGAAGAUUAGCAUGGCUCCUGCACAAGGAUGACACUCAAAUUCAUGAAGCGUUCCAUAUUUUU